AAUUCGAUUAGAGUUUGAUCCUGGCUCAGAUUGAACGCUGGCGGCAUGCCUUACACAUGCAAGUCGAACGGCAGCACGGGAGCUUGCUCCUGGUGGCGAGUGGCGAACGGGUGAGUAAUACAUCGGAACGUACCCAGGAGUGGGGGAUAACGUAGCGAAAGUUACGCUAAUACCGCAUAUUCUGUGAGCAGGAAAGCGGGGGAUCGCAAGACCUCGCGCUCUUGGAGCGGCCGAUGUCGGAUUAGCUAGUUGGUGAGGUAAAAGCUCACCAAGGCGACGAUCCGUAGCAGGUCUGAGAGGAUGAUCUGCCACACUGGGACUGAGACACGGCCCAGACUCCUACGGGAGGCAGCAGUGGGGAAUUUUGGACAAUGGGGGCAACCCUGAUCCAGCCAUGCCGCGUGAGUGAAGAAGGCCUUCGGGUUGUAAAGCUCUUUCGGCGGGGAAGAAAUGGCAACGGCUAAUAUCCGUUGUUGAUGACGGUACCCGCAUAAGAAGCACCGGCUAACUACGUGCCAGCAGCCGCGGUAAUACGUAGGGUGCGAGCGUUAAUCGGAAUUACUGGGCGUAAAGCGUGCGCAGGCGGUUUCGUAAGACAGACGUGAAAUCCCCGGGCUCAACCUGGGAACUGCGUUUGUGACUGCGAGGCUAGAGUACGGCAGAGGGGGGUAGAAUUCCACGUGUAGCAGUGAAAUGCGUAGAGAUGUGGAGGAAUACCGAUGGCGAAGGC
rnacentral:rRNA from 1 species